AUAAAAAUAUCGCAAAACAACAACAUCGCGGCAUUUCUAAUAGCAGACUUUGGUCAUUGCUUGCUCAAGUUAUGCCAAAAUUAUUGCGCUUCAUGAAGCACACCAAAAAGAUGUAUGGCUUAGAUUAACGCCAUCAACAUAUACAAGAAGCAAGCACUAUAGUCACCAGUGAAGAGCCAACAACAAGACAAUGUUGUAUGUGUUUCCCAAUUCAAUGGAAGAAACAAUGUAGCAGAAAGGCGCUUCCAGCUACAACAUUUAGAAAGCUUCUUCACAUAUCAAAAUGAAUCAUUUGAAGAAGAUGCUUACAAGGGGAGACAUAUGAUGAUGAGCAUGGCUGUACUCUUUGUCCCUUAUCAUAGUUUUUAUCCCACUGGGUUUUUCCAUGAAAAGAUUUUUAACGAGACAGCAAAGAACACGCAAAAUAUAGACAAGAAAAUAAAGGUCUAUCUCUCUUCCGAAAUCUUUGUCAUAUAAUGGCAAGAUCAAACGGGGCGAAGAGAAUGAUCGAGAUGCAUCAUCUACGAAAGCUAUGAAGAGAACACGUCUCGUUUGUUACAGAAGGAGAUUAUGUCACUGCACUAUUUUCUUUGUCAUGGGUUUUAUCCUAUACGAUUUUUUCAUGAUAAAGUUUUAACGAGGCAGUACGUAACUCAACAAAAAUUAUGGAUAUUCAAAGGGGAGUGUUAUAAAAUAUGAUGAUUAUCCAUCAUUUACUUAACUCCUAAGUAGCUUCCUCUCUAAGCUAUUGUGGAUAAUUUUAUUUCCUCUCUAAGCUAUUGUGGAUAAUUUUAUCCAAAUUUAACAUAACUUUGGCCCAAGUUACUUUAGUAUAUAUAUGUAGUCGACUAAAGUUGAUUUGU
rnacentral:sRNA from 1 species